rnacentral:rRNA from 1 species
GUCAUAUGCUUGUCUCAAAGAUUAAGCCAUGCAUGUCUCAGUACAAGCCAAAUUAAGGUGAAACCGCGAAAGGCUCAUUAAAUCAGUUAUGGUUCCUUAGAUCGUACCCACAAUUACUUGGAUAACUGUGGUAAUUCUAGAGCUAAUACAUGCAAACAGAGCUCCGACCGGAGACGGAAGGAGUGCUUUUAUUAGAUCAAAACCAAUCGGUGGCGGGUUCGCUCGUCAUCGUACAACUUGGUGACUCUGAAUAACUUUACGCUGAUCGCACGGUCAUCGCACCGGCGACGCAUCUUUCAAAUGUCUGCCUUAUCAACUGUCGAUGGUAGGUUCUGCGCCUACCAUGGUUGUAACGGGUAACGGGGAAUCAGGGUUCGAUUCCGGAGAGGGAGCCUGAGAAACGGCUACCACAUCCAAGGAAGGCAGCAGGCGCGCAAAUUACCCACUCCCGGCACGGGGAGGUAGUGACGAAAAAUAACGAUACGGGACUCAUCCGAGGCCCCGUAAUCGGAAUGAGUACACUCUAAACCCUUUAACGAGGAUCAAUUGGAGGGCAAGUCUGGUGCCAGCAGCCGC